UUUACAAGUCAAGUAGAAUAUGAUAUGAGAGUUCUAUGAGAGGUUAGCUAGUAAUAUUUUACAAGGCAGUUCAUUUAAUACUAAGCUACAAUUUUACAUCCAAGUAAUGAAAAUGAGAA